AAUGGGCGAAAGCCUGACCCAGCGACGCCGCGUGGAGGAUAAAGGCCUUCGGGUUGUAAACUCCUAACAAGUGUUAGUAAGUGCUACGGUUAAUACCCUAGUUACUUGAAAAAGGCACAAGAUGAAGUCAUGGCUAACUCCGUGCCAGCAGCCGCGGUAAUACGGAGAUGGCAACCGUUGUUCGGAAUCACUGGGCUUAAAGAGCACGUAGGCGGAAAGAUAAGUUGGUUGUGAAAGCCUCUGGCUUACCCAGAGAACAGCAUCCAAAACUGUUUUUCUUGAGUUCAGGAGGGGAGAGUGGAACUCCUAGUGGAGCGGUGAAAUGCGUUGAUAUUAGGAGGAACGCCGGUGGCGAAAGCGACUCUCUGGCCUGUAACUGACGCUGAGGUGCGAAAGCUAGGGGAGCAAACGGGAUU
rnacentral:rRNA from 1 species